rnacentral:misc_RNA from 1 species
GAAAUGCGAUACGUAAUGCGAAUUGCAGAACUCAGUGAAUCAUCAAAUCUUUGAACGCACAUGGCGCUUCUCCGGAAGCAUGCUUGGCUCAGUAUCUGUAAUACCCCUCUUUCCACUUUCUUUUGGGAGCUGGAAGAGUAACUUGAGAGUUGCAGUGCCUUGCGUGCUGCAUCUCCCGAAGUACGAUGUUGGGGAGCAGUGAUACCAGGUGGUAUAGGGCUGCCUCCAGUGUUGCUUCUGUAUGGUAAGUGGGGAUCCUUCCCACGUGACUUCGGUCAAUCCAGCAGUGCUGCCUGGUGGUGUACCGGUUACCGCGAUGCCUGGCAUCAAUUAUGGCUCGCCGAGACCCCCUGCGGUCUCGUCCCACUGCUUUUUUAACCAGACCUGAGUCAAGUAAGAGGACCCGCUGAAUUUAA